AUGAACGCUAGCUACAGGCUUAACACAUGCAAGUCGAGGGGCAUCAGGAAGAAAGCUUGCUUUCUUUGCUGGCGACCGGCGCACGGGUGAGUAACACGUAUCCAACCUGCCCUUUACUCGGGGAUAGCCUUUCGAAAGAAAGAUUAAUACCCGAUAGCAUAAUGAUUCCGCAUGGUUUCAUUAUUAAAGGAUUCCGGUAAAGGAUGGGGAUGCGUUCCAUUAGGUUGUUGGUGAGGUAACGGCUCACCAAGCCUUCGAUGGAUAGGGGUUCUGAGAGGAAGGUCCCCCACAUUGGAACUGAGACACGGUCCAAACUCCUACGGGAGGCAGCAGUGAGGAAUAUUGGUCAGUGGGCGUUAGCCUGAACCAGCCAAGUAGCGUGAAGGAUGAAGGCUCUAUGGGUCGUAAACUUCUUUUAUAUAAGAAUAAAGUGCAGUAUGUAUACUGUUUUGUAUGUAUUAUAUGAAUAAGGAUCGGCUAACUCCGUGCCAGCAGCCGCGGUAAUACGGAGGAUCCGAGCGUUAUCCGGAUUUAUUGGGUUUAAAGGGAGCGUAGGUGGACUGGUAAGUCAGUUGUGAAAGUUUGCGGCUCAACCGUAAAAUUGCAGUUGAUACUGUCAGUCUUGAGUACAGUAGAGGUGGGCGGAAUUCGUGGUGUAGCGGUGAAAUGCUUAGAUAUCACGAAGAACUCCGAUUGCGAAGGCAGCUCACUGGACUGCAACUGACACUGAUGCUCGAAAGUGUGGGUAUCAAACAGGAUUAGAUACCCUGGUAGUCCACACAGUAAACGAUGAAUACUCGCUGUUUGCGAUAUACAGUAAGCGGCCAAGCGAAAGCAUUAAGUAUUCCACCUGGGGAGUACGCCGGCAACGGUGAAACUCAAAGGAAUUGACGGGGGCCCGCACAAGCGGAGGAACAUGUGGUUUAAUUCGAUGAUACGCGAGGAACCUUACCCGGGCUUAAAUUGCAGUGGAAUGAUGUGGAAACAUGUCAGUGAGCAAUCACCGCUGUGAAGGUGCUGCAUGGUUGUCGUCAGCUCGUGCCGUGAGGUGUCGGCUUAAGUGCCAUAACGAGCGCAACCCUUAUCUUCAGUUACUAACAGGUCAUGCUGAGGACUCUGGAGAGACUGCCGUCGUAAGAUGUGAGGAAGGUGGGGAUGACGUCAAAUCAGCACGGCCCUUACGUCCGGGGCUACACACGUGUUACAAUGGGGGGUACAGAAGGCAGCUAGCGGGUGACCGUAUGCUAAUCCCAAAAUCCUCUCUCAGUUCGGAUCGAAGUCUGCAACCCGACUUCGUGAAGCUGGAUUCGCUAGUAAUCGCGCAUCAGCCACGGCGCGGUGAAUACGUUCCCGGGCCUUGUACACACCGCCCGUCAAGCCAUGGGAGCCGGGGGUACCUGAAGUACGUAACCGCAAGGAUCGUCCUAGGGUAAAACUGGUGACUGGGGCU
rnacentral:rRNA from 1 species